rnacentral:rRNA from 1 species
GGUUAAGCGACUAAGCGUACACGGUGGAUGCCCUGGCAGUCAGAGGCGAUGAAGGACGUGCUAAUCUGCGAUAAGCGCCGGUAAGGUGAUAUGAACCGUUAUAACCGGCGAUUUCCGAAUGGGGAAACCCAGUGUGACUCGUCACACUAUCAUUAACUGAAUCCAUAGGUUAAUGAGGCGAACCGGGGGAACUGAAACAUCUAAGUACCCCGAGGAAAAGAAAUCAACCGAGAUUCCCCCAGUAGCGGCGAGCGAACGGGGAGGAGCCCAGAGCCUGAAUCAGCAUGUGUGUUAGUGGAAGCGUCUGGAAAGGCGCGCGAUACAGGGUGACAGCCCCGUACACAAAAGCGCAUGUGCUGUGAGCUCGAUGAGUAGGGCGGGACACGUGGUAUCCUGUCUGAAUAUGGGGGGACCAUCCUCCAAGGCUAAAUACUCCUGACUGACCGAUAGUGAACCAGUACCGUGAGGGAAAGGCGAAAAGAACCCCGGCGAGGGGAGUGAAAAAGAACCUGAAACCGUGUACGUACAAGCAGUGGGAGCACCCUUUGGGGUGUGACUGCGUACCUUUUGUAUAAUGGGUCAGCGACUUAUAUUCUGUAGCAAGGUUAACCGAAUAGGGGAGCCGGAGGGAAACCGAGUCUUAAUUGGGCGUUAAGUUGCAGGGUAUAGACCCGAAACCCGGUGAUCUAGCCAUGGGCAGGUUGAAGGU